ensembl:lncRNA
AUGGCGAACUAUGUGCAACAUUUACUGGGGUUCCCCUGUUUUUGCGCCUUUCUGGACGGAUCCUUCCCUCUGUUCCCUGCACUGUUGACCGUCCCUGCUGGAGGAAAGUUUCCCAUUGCGGAUGCCCUGCGGUGGCCCGUGAGCUUUAUACAGGGCUCUUGUGCUGAAAUUCGACGCACAGCAAGAAACAGGCCUGGUGCCUCCGACUAUAUGUGGCACAAGGGGACCCGGAAGGCACCAGGCAGCAGGGCCAGCCGGAGCUCCGAAGGUGAACGGCCCUUUGCUGCAUCUUUAAAUUUAGCAUCGAAACGUUGGCGCUUGAGCACAUCGGACAAACCGUUUUUAUGGGAUGCUUCUGGGUUAGGCCUGUUCUACCCCCAGGUGGGAUGGAUGGGGAUAUGUGGCAUGGGGUUGCAUAGAGAAUCCCAUGUAUACUCAGCACGUGAUGCUCUUGGAUGGGGGUGGUUACGGAGACUAGCAGCAAACAAGGCACUUUGGAGACUUUGCUGGUGGAAACAGAUCCUUUGA